rnacentral:lncRNA from 1 species
GAGGUGAACGAGUCGACAGCCUUGUCACCUGCAGCCACACGAGACCUACUAAGGCAGAACCUUGAGGAUCUCCAAGCAUGUCUCAAACCUCUGUCUAGGUACACACUUAGUUAGGAAAUCUGCGGGAUUGAUAGAUGUGUGAAUCUUAUGAACCGUAACAUCGCCAGCUUCAAUUACGUCUCUCAUAAAGUGUAGUCUAGUGUCUAUAUGCUUGGUCCUUUCAUGGAAUCCUCCAUUCUUAGCCAAGUGUAUAGCACUUUGAGAAUCUGAAAACACUCUCACGUCAUCUUUCUUGAAUCCCAAUUCACUAACAAACCCCUUAAGCCAUAAUUCUUCUUUAAAAGCUUCGGCUAAUGCCAUGUAUUCUGAUUCUGUCGUUGAUAGUGCAACAAUAUGUUGGAGACCUGAUCUCCAGCUUAUAGUGUUGCCUCCGACUUGAAACACAUAUCCUGUAACGGAUCUUUUUCUGUCCAAGUCUGUUGCAUAGUCUGUAUCGCAGAAUCCUCGUACCAUAAAAUCUUCUCCUUUAGUAAACAAUAGAUCUGAAUCUAGAGCUGGUUUAAGAUAUCUCAUCACCCACUUAACAGCUUCCCAGUGUUUUCUUCCUGGCUUGCUCAUAUAACGGCUGAUUAAGCCCAUUGCGAAACAUAAGUCUGGUCUAGAUCCCACCAUUGCAUACAUUAAACUUCCAACGGCUGAUGUGUAUGGAAUUACGUUCAUGAAACUUGCUUCCACGUGCUCUUCUUCUUGUGUCAAACUUUUAAGCUUGAAUUGUGGUCCGAUAGGAGUAACCACAGCUUUGCUCUCUGCCAUGUUAAAAGUUUCCAGCACCUUCUGUAGAUACUUCCCUUGUGAUAGUUUUAGACUUCCCUUCUUCCGGUCUCUGAUAAUGUCCAUCCCAAGUAUUCUUGAAGCUGCUCCAAGGUCCUUCAUCUCAAACUCUCUCUUCAAGCUAUCUUUGAUUCUUUUAAUUUCUUUAGAAUCCUUAGAUACUAUGAGCAUGUCAUCAACAAAGAUCAAGAGAUAAAACAUAUGAGAUAAGUCUGAACCUUUCAUGUAGACGCAAGGAUCAUAUGCACUUCUUUCGAAACCUUGUUGUUUCAUGAAGCUAUCAAAUCUCCUAUUCCACUGUCUUAUUGACUGUUUUAAUCCGUAAAGGGAUUUCAACAGGAGACAAACUUGAUCUUCUUUCCCCUCCUCAACGAAACCUUAUGGCUGUGCCAUAUAAAUCUCCUCGUCUAACGUUCCGUACAGGAAAGCCAUUUUCACGUCUAGUUGUUCCAAAUCAAGAUCAUAAUUUGCAACAAGUGACAGCAUAAUUCUAAUCGACACGUGUUUCACCACUGGUGCAAACACCUCUGUGUAGGCGAUCCCUUCAACUUGUGAAAACCCUUUAGCUACUAAUCUAGCUUUGUAUCCCGGCUUCUCAAUUCCAGGAAUGCGAAUGCCUUCUUUCAGCUUGAAAACCCAUUUGCUGCCAAUAGCUUUUUUUUUCUCUAGUUUCUCAACCAGCUUCCAAGUCUGAUUUUUCUCCAACGAAUCCAUCUCUUCUUGCAUUCCCUCAUUCCAUAACUUCCAGCUCUUUCUCCUUCUUGCUUCCAAAUAGGAUUUAGGCUCAUCCUUAUUUAUUUCUUCUGCUGUAGCUAGAUCAUAAGCCACACAAUCUGAAUCAUCAAAACUAGAAGGUUUCUUUACUUCUCUCCUGAUUCUAUCUCUAGCAAGAAUGUAGUUGUCUAGAUUUUCCUGUUGAGCUCCCAUAACUUCUUCUUCACUUUCUGAGCUUGAAGAUUCAGGUUCCGAGUCGUCUGAUGCUGGAGAAACUCCACCUUGAACUGUAUCCUCUAUUUUAGUGUCUGUAGUUGUGUUUGAAGGUCCUUGAAUAAGCACAGGAUUGAACGUUACCUUUUUCGUAUUCCUCUUCUUCUCGCUGACUCCUUUAAUGUCUUUAAACAUCUCUUCCUCAUUGAAAAUCACGUUUCUGCUCACUGUACAUCUUAGCUCUUCUGGUAACCAAACUCGAUAACCUUUAAUUAGUCCCCUAUGGAUAUCCCAUGAAAACUCCUUUCAUCACUCUUGGACUGGUUUUGGCUUGUGUCACGUGAACAUAAGCUGCACACCCGAACUUCCUUAGAUAAUUUAAGUCUGUUUUGGUUCCAGACCACACCUCUACCGGUAGUUUGAAGUUAAUAGCUGUACUGGGAGAUCGGUUGAUUAAGUAGACAGCUGUAGAAGCCGCUUCCGCCCAGAACUUUUGCUCUAAGCCUGCCUCUGUCAACAUACAUCUCAUCUUCUCCAUAAUCGUACGGUUCAUGCGUUCUGAUACUCCGUUUUGCUGUGGAGUAUAGACGCAUGUUCUGUGUCUUUUAAUCUUUGCUUCCUUACACAAUGUGUCCAUCUGUGUAUGGCAGAACUCUAAUCCGUUAUCCGUCCUUAGACACUUCACCUUCUUUCCUGUCUCAGUCUCCACACAUGUUUUCCAUUCCUUGAAGUUUUGAAACACUUCAUUCUUUGAUCUUAGGAAAUACAUCCAAACUUUCCUAGAACAAUCAUCAAUGAAUGUAACAAAAUAGAAACAUCCUCCAAGACUCUCUACCACCGAAGGUGAACCCCAUAAAUCUGAAUGGAUGUACUCUAGGACUUCCUUAGACGUGUGCUUGCCUUUUGGAAAGCUUAGCUUGUGUGCUCUACCCAAAACGCAAUUCUCGCAAAACUCCAACGUCUUCACAUCCUUUACGUUUAAAUAUCCCUCCUUGAAUAGAAUAUUCAUGCCCUUUAGACUCAUAUGUCCAAGCCUAGAGUGCCACCUCUUAGUCAAAUCGAUAUCAGGCCUUGUGACUGUAGCUUCACCAUCCAAUACUGUCCCUUGUAAGUAAUACAAGCCAUCACAGUAUUUUCCAGAAAUAACCUUCUGAUCUCCUUUGUAAAACUGCACCAUGAAUUCUUUGCCUUCGUAUCUGAAUCCCAUCUUCUCUAAUAAACCGUAGGAGAUGAGGUUUCUUCCCAUUGUAGGCAUGUAACGAACAUCAGUGAGAAUCAUGCUCGAUCCAUCAUCAUUCAUGAUCCUGAUCUUCCCGAUCCCUUUAAUCUCGUUGAUAGUGUUAUUUCCCAUCAAAACCUUUCAUCCUUCUAUGUCUUCAAGAUCAAAUAAGACAUCUUUAUUUGGAGUGAUAUGGAAUGUACAACCAGAAUCAAGUACCCACUCGUCCUUAGUAGCUUGCUGGCUAGCUACUAACACCAAUGGUUGUUCUUUCUUUUCAGCUAUGUUGACCGAAUUUGAUGGCUUUCUCUCCGGACACUGCUUUUUAAAGUGUCCCUCCUUGCCACACGUCCAACAUUUUUUAGAGAACUUAGGUCUUGAUUGUGAUCUAUUUUUGCUCUUUGAUCUAGCUCUCCAAGUCUUGUCGUUUUUCUUUUCGCCCCUGCCUCUGUUGUUGCCAACAUACAGCCCCUCUGAGUUACUCUUGGACUUCCCUUCUCCCUUAAUUCAACUUCCUUAGAAUAAGCUGAGCUUGUAACAUCACAAACUGUUGAAAUUUCUUUGCCGCUGCCGUAUUUUAAUGCAUCAACGAGAGACUCGUAUUGCUUGGGCAAGCUGGUUAAGAUCUGAAUUGCUUGAUCUUCUCAAUGAUCUUAAUGUCCAGACUUGCUUGAUCAGCCACAAGUUUCAGAAACACAUCCAUAUUUUCCUUAAUGGACUUGUGCUCUUCCAUUCUGAAACCUGCAUAUCUCUGCUUCAUGUAGAUUCGAUUAGGUAAUGUCUUGGUCUGAUACUCAGCUUCUAGAGCCUUCCACAUAGCCAGUGCUGUAGGCUCUUGCAUAACCUUGCGCAGAAUAAGGUCAGAUAGACACAAACUGAUCAGAUUCUUUGUACGCAAUUCCCGUUCUUGUUCCUUAGGAUCAGGUUUUCCAUCUUUAUGUUCUUCACCUUCAACAUCCGUAGAAGGAGUUUUCUCCUUAAGAAAAGACCCCAAACCAAAGAUCUCUAGCUGACAGAGCAUCUUAUACUUCCAUAGACCAAAAUCACCCUUGCCAUCGAAUUUUUCCACUUCAAAUUUCUUUGAAAUUGCUUCCAUCUCUCUUAUAACCCGUAAACUUGUUUUCCUUUGUUUGCAGGUUGCUGUAAUACGCCGUAGUCGUCAAGCUUCAAUCACCAACGAGCUGAGUCUUCUUCACCGCACCAGAUAAGAAUUCUCCUUGCUUGUUUAUUGAAUCUUGCCUUCGAAUCUCUGUAACUAGGAUCUCUGUUAGCCUAAGCUCUGAUACCACUUGUAGAGAAUCGACCUUGGCUGUUCUUGUAACAAGUAAAUCGACACACCAAUAUGUUUGGUGAG